rnacentral:rRNA from 1 species
CCUACGGGGUGCAGCAGUGGGGAAUAUUGCACAAUGGGCGCAAGCCUGAUGCAGCCAUGCCGCGUGUAUGAAGAAGGCCUUCGGGUUGUAAAGUACUUUCAGCGGGGAGGAAGGCGAUAAGGUUAAUAACCUUGUCGAUUGACGUACCCGCAGAAGAAGCACCGGCUAACUCCGUGCCAGCAGCCGCGGUAAUACGGAGGGUUCAAGCGUUAAUCGGAAUUACUGGGCGUAAAGCGCACGCAGGCGGUCUGUCAAGUCGGAUGUGAAGUCCCCGGGCUCAACCUGGGAACUGCAUUCGAAACUGGCAGGCUAGAGUCUUGUAGAGGGGGGUAGAAUUCCAGGUGUAGCGGUGAAAUGCGUAGAGAUCUGGAGGAAUACCGGUGGCGAAGGCGGCCCCCUGGACAAAGACUGACGCUCAGGUGCGAAAGCGUGGGGAGCAAACAGGAUUAGAUACCCCCGUAGUC